rfam:Streptomyces scabiei 87.22 complete genome
CUUGAUCGAGCCGAGCCACAGCGGCUGGUCCUCGGCGCGGUCCUGGCCGUAGGCGGCGAGCAGGGCGUCCGCCUC